rnacentral:rRNA from 1 species
AUUGAACGCUGGCGGCAGGCCUAACACAUGCAAGUCGAACGAGUGGCGGACGGGAGAGCAAUGUCUGGGAAACUUCCUGAUGGAGGGGGAUAACUACUGGAAACGGUAGCUAAUACCGCAUACCACUGGAUGUGCCCAGAUGGGAUUAGCUAGUAGGGGGGGUAACGGCGCACCUAGGCGACGAUCCCUAGCUGGUCUGAGAGGAUGCCCAGCCACACGGGGACUGAGACACGGUCCAGACUCCUGCGGGAGGUAGCAGUGGGGAAUAUUGCACAAUGGGCGCAAGCCGGAUGCAGCCAUGCCGCGUGUAUGAAGAAGGCCUUCGGGUUGUAAAGUACUUUCAGCGGGGAGGCGUUACCCGCAGAAGAAGCACCGGCUAACUCCGUGCCAGCAGCCGCGGUAAUAC